rnacentral:rRNA from 1 species
UACGGAGGGUGCAAGCGUUGUCCGGAAUCACUGGGCGUAAAGGGCGCGUAGGCGGCCUGGUAAGUAGGGGGUGAAAUCCUGCGGCUUAACCGCAGGGCUGCCUUCUAAACUGUCAGGCUUGAGCACGGUAGAGGCAGAUGGAAUUCCCGGCGUAGCGGUGGAAUGCGUAGAGAUCGGGAAGAACAUCAGUGGCGAAGGCGGUCUGCUGGGCCGUUGCUGACGCUGAGGCGCGACAGCGUGGGGAGCAAACAGG